rnacentral:rRNA from 1 species
CCUACGGGAGGCAGCAGUGGGGAAUAUUGGACAAUGGGCGAGAGCCUGAACCAGCCAAGUCGCGUGAAGGAUGAAGGAUCUAUGGUUUGUAAACUUCUUUUAUAUGGGAGAAAAGUGACGAUCGUGUUCCUUUUUGUAUGUACCAUAUGAAUAAGCAUCGGCUAACCUAGUGCCAGCAGCCGCGGUACUGCGGUGGAUACGAGCGUUAGCCGGUUUUAAUGGGUGUAAAGGGUGCGUUGGGAGGUCAGUAAGUCAGCGGUGAAAGUUUGGGGCUCAACCACAAAAUUGCUGUUGAAACAGGUUGACUUGAGUGAGAUAGAGGUAGGCGGAAUGCGCGGUGUAGCGGUGAAAUGCGUAGAUAUAGGGAAGAACACCAAUGGCGAAGGCAGCUUACUGGACAUUAACUGACGCUGAGGCACGAAAGCGUGGGGAGCAAACAGGAUUAGAUACCCUUGUAGUC